UGGGAAUAUUGGCAAUGGGCGCAAGCCUGACCCAGCAACGCCGCGUGAAGGAUGAAGGUUUUCGGAUUGUAAACUUCUUUUGUCGGGGAAGAUAAUGACGGUACCCUUGGAGGAAGCCCCGGCUAACUACGUGCCAGCAGCCGCGGUAAUACGUAGGGGGCAAGCGUUAUCCGGAAUUAUUGGGCGUAAAGAGUGCGUAGGUGGUUACCUAAGCAGGGGGUGAAAGGCUAUGGCUUAACCAUAGUUAGCCCCCCUGAACUGGGCUACUUGAGUGCAGGAGAGGAAAGCGGAAUUCCUAGUGUAGCGGUGAAAUGCGUAGAUAUUAGGAGGAACACCCAGUGGCGAAGGCGGCUUUCUGGACUGUUACUGACACUGAGGCACG
rnacentral:rRNA from 1 species